CCUACGGGUGGCUGCAGUGAGGAAUAUUGGUCAAUGGACGCAAGUCUGAACCAGCCAUGCCGCGUGAAGGAUGACGGCCCUAUGGGUUGUAAACUUCUUUUGUACGGGGAUAAACGCAGCCACGUGUGUCUUUCUGUAAGUAUCUUACGAAUAAGGAUCGGCUAACUCCGUGCCAGCAGCCGCGGUAAUACGGAGGAUUCGAGCGUUAUCCGGAUUUAUUGGGUUUAAAGGGAGCGUAGGUGGUCUGUUAAGUUAGAGGUGAAAUCCUGAGGCUCAACCUCGGAAUUGCAUAUGAUACUGGCAGGCUAGAGAGCAGUUGCGGUAGGCGGAAUGCAUGGUGUAGCGGUGAAAUGCUUAGAGAUCACACAGAACACCGAUUGCGAAGGCAGCUUACCAAGCUACUACUGACGUUGAGGCACGAAAGUGUGGGGAUCAAACAGGAUUAGAUACCCCUGUAGUC
rnacentral:rRNA from 1 species